AUUGAACGCUGGCGGCAUGCCUUACACAUGCAAGUCGAACGGCAGCAUGGAGAGCUUGCUCUCUGAUGGCGAGUGGCGAACGGGUGAGUAAUGCAUCGGAACGUACCGUGUAAUGGGGGAUAACGUAGCGAAAGUUACGCUAAUACCGCAUACGACCUGAGGGUGAAAGCAGGGGAUCGCAAGACCUUGCGUUAUAGGAGCGGCCGAUAGCAGAUUAGCUAGUUGGUGAGGUAAAAGCUCACAAAGGCGACGAUCUGUAGCGGGUCUGAGAGGAUGUGACGCCACACUGGGACUGAGACACAGGCCAGACUCCUACGGGAGGCGGAAGUGGGGAAUUUUGGGCAAUGGGGGCAACCCUGAUCCAGCCAUGCGGCGUGAGUGAAGAAGGCGUUCGGGUUGUAAAGCUCUUUCGGCCGGGAAGAAAUCGCACAGGCUAAUACUAUGUGUGGAUGACGGUACCGGCAUAAGAAGCACCGGCUAACUACGUGCCAGCAGCCGCCGUAA
rnacentral:rRNA from 1 species